CGCAUAGAAGAAAUUAUCAUGUUUUUGAGACAGGGUCUUGCUAUGUACUUCAGGCUGGUCUUGAACUCACUAUAUAGCCAAGGCUGGCCUUGAGCUCUUGACAAUCCUCUUGCCUCAGCCUCCUGAAUGCUACCAUUACAGUUCCAGGAAUCAAACUCAGGACCUUGUGCUUGCCAGGCAGCCGAGGCCCCGCUGAGCCCCUUCCCUGGCUGCCCUUCAUUUUUUGCUGUGCCCUAACUUUCAUCUUGGAAUCAUUUUCCUGCUGCUUGAAGAACUACUUGAAGGACGACGUGAACUGCUUGAAGGAUUUACAAGGAAGUGAGUUGAGAACAACGAGGGAAGAAUGGGACCAGAGCCACAGAUACCAUGCAAGCACUGCUUAGAUUACUGGCUGGAGCGGAAGGUCCCUGGGACCUCAGCUAGCAUCGUGUAAGUGGUCACCAUCAGCUUCAUGGGGAAGAGCACUUGCACCAAAAAGUAUUUCUGCAGCAGACCCACCCACGGUGCUUAACAUUCCUACAUCGAAUUUGAGACACAGCUUUGAGAGGAUCUAUUUGAAGGUGGAUUUAUCUUAACUGUAACUGGGGAGUGCUCAAUCUGGGUCUUCAUCUGCCCCUCAGAGCUUGUCUUAAAUUAGCCGUCAUGUUGUGGAAUUUUUAGGAAGUGUAGAAAAUGGUUGGGAGCAAACAUUAGUUUUGCCACAGCUACUUGGAACAUUUCUACGAAAGAGAGU
rnacentral:lncRNA from 1 species